GCAAUACCCUCUUCUCUGUCAUGCCUAUUCUUUAUCCAUCUAAAAAAUACCCUAGCAGCAGCCAUCGUCGUAGGCCUCCGCCGCCAGCCAAGAACGGAGCGCCGGCCGCCAGCUCCCUGCUCUCCGCCUCCCUGGAACGUCGGAUCUUGCCACCAUUCCAAACUCGCCGGCUCUCCCCACCCCCAAGGUCACAUCUCUCCCAUGGCUCCCCUCCAACCCUGAGUUCCUCGCAUAGGGCACGGACUGAAUCCGGCGUGUGGAUCCAAGGCAUGCCGCCCCUCCUCCGACUAGCCAACCAUGGUGGCGUGGUUCCUCAUGCGGUCCUCCUCCGACCAGCCAAUCAUAGCGGCGUGGUUCGUCUGACUUGCGCAGGGGCUCUUCUCUCCCAUCGGUCGGCGCCUCGACUUCGAAUCCUACAGCCGGCACCUCGACUUCAGCUUGCACAGACCAGCAUCCUUUGUUGCCAGAUCUUAACCACACCGAGUUCCUCCGGUCGUCGUCGUGAACCUCCAAGCAGAUAAGCCAACCUUCAUGUGUACUUCCCGUUAUAUCUCCACACUCUAUUCCUCGCUGUUUUGUUUUUCAGGAAGAAGGUGGAUUAGUGGCUAUUUCCAGUAUGUAGAUGGGAUGGCAAUAGCUCUUCCUUGGUUGAAGGAUGCAAUGCAUCUCGCUGAAUUCCAAGCUGUAUUAUUUUGGGUCUACCUAGAUACCCAAGCAGGGGAGAUAAAGGCUGCAAGUUGGGUGGAAAGCUAGGGAGACAAUUCUCGUGUGUAUUCAUAGGUUUAGGUGGUCGUGAAGGGCGACUAAAAGAAGUCCAUCAUCAAAUCAAGUUUUUGGAAAUUUGGGGACUGAAAUCAGAUCAAGAUGCAUUUGCCUGAAUAUAAAAUAUAAGGCAAAAAAGCCAAUAUAAAGAGAAGGAGAAAAAAACUGUUCCAAAGGAUAUAGCUACACUUCACAGCACUGGGAUUGUGGAUGUUGAUACAAAUUGGAUGUGCUUCUGUGUAGUCCCAAGUCAAGCAAUUUCUCACUAAUGUGUCACGCGAAGAUUUUUUUCCAAAAGGCAAAGAUUCAUAGCUAGCAGUUUAUCAGCUGAUGACUCUUGCUUUGUUGAUUGUUGUGCUUAAUCAAUAUCCUUACAGGUUUGUGGGGGAGAUGUCCCAUGACAACACAAUCCAGUGCAUAAUUGCUUUAGCAGCCGGAAAAAGAGUCAAGAUGCAGCGAUGCAGUGUCAAGUGAGCAAUGGCAUGUCAUGAGCAAUUGCGGGGCCAGAUGUGAGCGCCACUGCUGUCCCACAAUGAACAAGUUAUUCUGCUGUUUAUGAUCAAGGCAUUGUUUGAUAAGGAAACCCAUUUGCUUCUGAACUAAUCCACGUGGCAACUUCCAUGGUUCAUCUAAUAUAAUUUUGAAAGCAAUCUGAUACGACCUCAA